ensembl:lncRNA
AAUGCACGCACACACGGGCCCACCCCAGUCUCAGCGGACAAUGGCAGGCAACUCACAGACACAAAGGGAGGCACACACAGAAAACACAGCCCCCCCCCCCGUGGGGGCAGGGGAGGGCGCCAGCGACCAGGUCAGCCCACACAUGCCCAGGGUCCCUCUGCCCCCUUGGGGUCCACCAUCUGGUGCGGAAGACAAAGCAGGAGCCAGUGCUGCAGCCGCGGGGAGGCGGUGGGAACCCUGCCACCCAGCCGUGAAGGGCUCGGAGCACCAGGGAGCUGUGCACACACCUGGAAGGCACAGCGGCCAGGUAACGGACCGGAACCGAGCACCGACAUCAUUACAAGCCCUCCCCGGGGCCAAAGGUCAGUAAUUACUGCGGCCUCCACAGUCAAGCACCCAAGCACCGGGCAGGUUGUGGGGGGGGGGCAGGCUCACAGCCACGAGGGGCCUCUCUCUCACACACAAAGAAAGUGGCAGAGGGUCUCGCGGCGGCCCACACCCGGCAGCCUCACAAGGGAUACACACAGAAAUGGAAACCCGGGGAGCCAGAGCCACACACACACACGGCGCCUGGGACACACACAGAUAACUCAACGUUUGCACACGAGGCUAAGUUUCAAAAACCAAUUACAGGCGCACACCCGGACACACCGCAAAGUCACAGCUGGACACGGACUGGUAACAGAGCCACAGGCGGAAUUGGAGGUGACCGCGUGCGUGCACACACACACACACACACACACACACACACAGAGUCACCGAGGGCCACAGCCGCUACACACCCCCACAUGGAACCAGCCACACACGCAGGGAGAUACAGGAGACACAGGCACACAACCCCAGAGGGUGGGGGGCACGAUCAGACACUCGCUGAGGGUGGCAGAGCCGCGGAAGGCAGCAGAGGGGGCCUGCACACGCGCACGGACCCGCACUACUGUACACAGGGACACACACGUCCAGCUGGAAACGCACUUGGGCACGCGGCCCUUGGGCCACGCAGGAGCCCCGCCCCCCGCAGCCCAGACCCACCAGGCCGGCGGGAGAGGGCCCAGCCGGCGGGGUGCUCGCCGACUUCCCUGCAUCCCGGGCCGGCCUCCCAGGCAGAGGCCAGCAGUGCCUGCGCGCCCUCCCCGCAGGCGGCGCUGCCCGCAAGAGGAGCCCCCAGCCCGGCCCAGCCAGCCAGACCCCCGCCACCGCCACCCAGCGCCUCGCGGGCCCGCAAAGGCGACCCCCUCGGAGUCGCCCCUCGGGGGUUGCGCCCCAGGUGCCCCGCGCCGGCAGCCCAGACCUAGGCCCACGUGCGCCAGCGCUGGACCCAGCUCGGCCGCGCCGCCCCGCAGCCGCGCAGGCGCCCCCUCCCCGGCGCCCGGCCCUCAGCCCCCCGACGCCGGCGGCCCCGGUUCUUACUCGAACAUGGAUGCGGCGCGGCGGCGCCCCGGCCGCAGGGCAGGGCAGGGCAGGGCAGGGCAGGGCAGGGCAGGGCCCGGCUGCGCGGGGCUGGGCUGCGCUGGGCGUCCCCGCAGGGCACCGGCCUCGCCUUCCGCGGCCGCCGCCCCCACCCGACCCCGCCGGCCGCACAAAAGGCCGGAGCCGCGGAGGCCGCCGCGGCGUCAGCGACUCCCCUUCCUCUCCCCGCCCCGCGCGUCACGGCGCCGCCCCCGCCCGCAGCAGCGCGCCCAGGGCGGCCGCGGCCUAGACGCCGACCGCCGGGCUGCGGGCCGAGCAGGCGCCGGAGACGCGGAGCCGGCGCGCACCAGGCUCCCGGGCCCUCCAGGAGACCCCCGCGAGGUUGGCGGCGGCGGGGACUGA